GAUGAACGCUGGCGGCGUGCCUAACACAUGCAAGUCGAGCGAUUCUCUUCGGAGAAGAGCGACGGACGGGUGAGUAACGCGUGGGUAACCUGCCCUGUACACACGGAUAACAUACCGAAAGGUAUGCUAAUACGAGAUAAUAUGCUUUUAUCGCAUGGUAGAAGUAUCAAAGCUUUUGCGGUACAGGAUGGACCCGCGUCUGAUUAGCUAGUUGGUAAGGUAACGGCUUACCAAGGCGACGAUCAGUAGCCGACCUGAGAGGGUGAUCGGCCACAUUGGAACUGAGACACGGUCCAAACUCCUACGGGAGGCAGCAGUGGGGAAUAUUGCACAAUGGGCGAAAGCCUGAUGCAGCAACGCCGCGUGAGCGAUGAAGGCCUUCGGUCGUAAAGCUCUGUCCUCAAGGAAGAGUAAUGACGGUACUUGAGGAGGAAGCCCCGGCUAACUACGUGCCAGCAGCCGCGGUAA
rnacentral:rRNA from 1 species